GCCGGGUGCGGUGGCGCGCGCCUGUAAUCCAAGCUACCGGGAGGCUGAGGCUGGCGGAUCGCUUGAGCUCAGGAGCUCUGAGCUGCAGCGGACUAUGUCGAUCGGGUGUCCGCACUAAGUUCGGUAUCGAUAUGGUGCUCCUGGGGGAGCCCGGGACCACCAGGUCGUCUAAGGAGGGGUGCACCGGCCCAGGUCGGAGCUGCAGCGGACUAUGUCGAUCGGGUGUCCGCACUAAGUUCGGUAUCGAUAUGGUGCUCCUGGGGGAGCCCGGGACCACCAGGUCGUCUAAGGAGGGGUGCACCGGCCCAGGUCGGAAACGGAGCAGGUCAAAGCCCCCGUGCCGCUCAGUAGUGGGAUCGCGCCUGUGAAUAGACGCUGUAGUGCAGCCUGAGUAAUACAGCGGGACCCAGUCUUUU
rnacentral:SRP_RNA from 1 species